GACGAACGCUGGCGGCGUGCCUAAUACAUGCAAGUAGAACGCUGAAGAGAGGAGCUUGCUCUUCUUGGAUGAGUUGCGAACGGGUGAGUAACGCGUAGGUAACCUGCCUUGUAGCGGGGGAUAACUAUUGGAAACGAUAGCUAAUACCGCAUAACAAUGGAUGACACAUGUCAUUUAUUUGAAAGGGGCAAUUGUUCCACUACAAGAUGGACCUGCGUUGUAUUAGCUAGUAGGUGAGGUAAUGGCUCACCUAGGCGACGAUACAUAGCCGACCUGAGAGGGUGAUCGGCCACACUGGGACUGAGACACGGCCCAGACUCCUACGGGAGGCAGCAGUAGGGAAUCUUCGGCAAUGGGGGCAACCCUGACCGAGCAACGCCGCGUGAGUGAAGAAGGUUUUCGGAUCGUAAAGCUCUGUUGUAAGUCAAGAACGGGGGUGAGAGUGGAAAGUUCACACUGUGACGGUAGCUUACCAGAAAGGGACGGCUAACUACGUG
rnacentral:rRNA from 1 species